rnacentral:sRNA from 1 species
AGUCAGGGUCAAGUGGUGUUAGCAAUCACACCAGCAACAAAUGGCUCAGGAUGCUCUGGUUUCAAAGCUUAUAAAACAGAGGGUGAUUCCCUUGGGACUCACUCAGCUCGGCUCCGAAAAGCAAAGGCCAGAAGGCAGCAGUGAGCCUGGGUCCCUGCUGUGUAGGGAGACUCAGGGGCUGGGAAGAAAGGUGGAAUCAGAAAUGCUGAAGGUUUACGUGAGCUUUGCACCGAGCACCUGCGAACCACUGCCUCUGGGCUCAACAGAACACAGGGGUCCUGAAGAAUGAAGGGUACCAAGGUGGAAGGGGUGCAGGAUUAAGAGUAGGGACGCCUGCAAAAGCUCUCGUGUUACCACCUCAUCUUCCAACUUUCAUAUGGGUGAAAACGUUCAUUCAAUUGCUUCUAAUUCUGAAGUUUUGUGAUUCCUUGAAAUGUACUUUGGGGAUGACAGCCAGCAUUUCCAUUUCACUGCAAUUUCAGAGUUUUGCAGUGGUUUGCCAAUCAUAACACUUUCUAAUUGGCACAAAAUCCACCUACCUGUUGCCUCUCAGGCUUGGGUAACAUACUUCAGACACUUUCUUAGGUAAGUCUUGGCCCUUGGGGUGUUAUUUGCCCAGAU